UGGCUCAGAUUGAACGCUGGCGGCAGGCCUAACACAUGCAAGUCGAACGGUAGCACAGAGAGCUUGCUCUCGGGUGACGAGUGGCGGACGGGUGAGUAAUGUCUGGGAAACUGCCUGAUGGAGGGGGAUAACUACUGGAAACGGUAGCUAAUACCGCAUAACGUCGCAAGACCAAAGAGGGGGACCUUCGGGCCUCUUGCCAUCAGAUGUGCCCAGAUGGGAUUAGCUAGUAGGUGGGGUAACGGCUCACCUAGGCGACGAUCCCUAGCUGGUCUGAGAGGAUGACCAGCCACACUGGAACUGAGACACGGUCCAGACUCCUACGGGAGGCAGCAGUGGGGAAUAUUGCACAAUGGGCGCAAGCCUGAUGCAGCCAUGCCGCGUGUAUGAAGAAGGCCUUCGGGUUGUAAAGUACUUUCAGCGGGGAGGAAGGCGAUAAGGUUAAUAACCUUGUCGAUUGACGUUACCCGCAGAAGAAGCACCGGCUAACUCCGUGCCAGCAGCCGCGGUAAUACGGAGGGUGCAAGCGUUAAUCGGAAUUACUGGGCGUAAAGCGCACGCAGGCGGUCUGUCAAGUCGGAUGUGAAAUCCCCGGGCUCAACCUGGGAACUGCAUUCGAAACUGGCAGGCUGGAGUCUUGUAGAGGGGGGUAGAAUUCCAGGUGUAGCGGUGAAAUGCGUAGAGAUCUGGAGGAAUACCGGUGGCGAAGGCGGCCCCCUGGACAAAGACUGACGC
rnacentral:rRNA from 1 species